AAGUUCUUUUUUUAAAAGUAGAUUAAAUAAUUUGGUCUCUGCAAAAUAUUUUUGAGGUCUUGAGUAUUCCCUGUCUCAGUCAUUUAACUACCCUCCAAAAGCAAGGCCAAACUGCAGCUUCAUGGGAAAAACACUUGGGAAGCGUCCAAUCCAGUGCAUGCCAACUCGCAUUUGCCUUCCUCUUUCAAAGCCACACUUCCUGGCUGGACUGGUUAGAAUUUCCCUUUGAUGAGAAAAAAAAGAGAGUUCCUGGAUUGGUUUCAAGCCCUUUUGUUCACUGCAGUCAUUCCAGCAUUCUCUACAGAGUUCUUGUAAGCCAGCAGGGAAAAAAAAAUGAUUUCUAUCGUUCCUCUGGAAAAGUACUCAAAUGUGUGUUCUGCACCCUAUCAGAAUUCACCCUUUGAUGAAUUUCGAGCCUAUGCCCAUCUUCUUUGAUUGGUUUGAAUUUCUAGUAGUGCCUGUAACCAAAACUUUGAAUAUGUUGAUCUCUUCCCUCUUCCAACCAUGCCAUGGUUAGCUGAUUUCGUUUCUCUGUUUGCACGAGUUUCUCUUUUUAGGAACCACAUCUGUGGAAUAUUAGGUACAGGUACCUGUUCUGAGAGCAGGGAAAGAAAAAGAAGAAGAAAGAUGUAUCAUUUAGAUCCUGUUUCAUCAUCUGUAAGGAAGGAGUUUGACUGUGCAUUUUCCAGGGAGCAUAGGGUCCUUGUGUUCAGCUUUUACAUUUGGCAUCCCCAGGGGGUAGAGUUUUGGUAUCAUUCAUUUUUAAGUCAGGAUAGCUUCCAUUCAUUCACAUAUAUUCACACAAUGGUUUAAGCUCUUUGAUAAAAUGGACUUCACUGCUAAACUUGUACUGAGUUCUAAAACUUAAGCUUUCAGUUAAUUUGCAUAAAGUUACUUAUCUUUCCUGACUUGAAUUUGAUACCUUGAAAAGUACUCAUGAUUAAAGCCACCCCUUUUUCAGUAAUUGCUAGGAAUAAGUAAGUGAUAUAAGUAUGGUAGCACGGGACCUGGGACAUAGUAACUGGCACAAUUACAGUUUGUGUUCUUCUAGGACAUGUGACACGAAUUUCAGACUUCCUAAGGCACAUGUUUUGCUGUUAGUUCACUCAAAGUUGAUGGGAAGGAACACAGGUAGGCAUUGAGUGCAUUCUAUCACAGGUACCAUCAUAGACUUACUUACAUACAUACUUAGAUACAGUAAAGCAUUCCAAAAGAGCGUGUCUAACUGUAGGGAGAGGGAGGAUGGGAAGC
rnacentral:lncRNA from 1 species